ensembl:snoRNA
ACACAUGAUGACAGAAAUCUCACUAUGACCUGAUGUGGACAAAAUUCACUUUAUAAGA